rnacentral:rRNA from 1 species
ACAGAGGUCUCGAGCGUUGUUCGGAUUCAUUGGGCGUAAAGGGCGCGUAGGCGGCCUUCUAAGUCGAACGUGAAAUCCCCGGGCUCAACCCGGGAACUGCGUCCGAUACUGGAAGGCUUGAAUCCGGGAGAGGGAUGCGGAAUUCCAGGUGUAGCGGUGAAAUGCGUAGAUAUCUGGAGGAACACCGGUGGCGAAGGCGGCAUCCUGGACCGGUAUUGACGCUGAGACGCGAAAGCCAGGGGAGCAAACGGGA